rnacentral:rRNA from 1 species
GACGAACGCUGGCGGCGUGCCUAAUGCAUGCAAGUCGCACGCAGCGCCUUUCGGGGCGCUGAGUGGCGCACGGCUGAGGAACACGUGGGAACCUGGCCCCUGGUGGGGGACAACAGCGCGAACGGGGGGCUAAUACCGCCUUCGUUCCCGCGGGGAAGUGCCGCGGGAGGCAAGUCUUCGGGCGCUGGAGGAGGGGCUUGCGUCCUAUCAGGUAGUUGGUAGGGUAACGGCCCACCAAGCCUACGACGGGUAGCUGGUCUGAGAGGACGAUCAGCCAGACGGGGACUGAGACACGGCCCCGACUCCUACGGGAGGCAGCAGCGAGGAAUCUUGCGCAAUGGGCGAAAGCCUGACGCAGCAACGCCGCGUGGGGGAAGAAGGCCCUCGGGUCGUAAACCCCUUUUGCAGGGGAAGAAGCUCUGACGGUACCCUGCGAAUAAGCCACGGCUAACUACGUGCCAGCAGCCGCGGUAA